UGAAUAGCUUGAAGAUUUUUGACUGCAUACCGCACAUGUUCAACAGGGAAAAAAAAUCAAAUCCCAUAUCAGGAAUAUUUUUUAUUAUCAGAUUCUUUUGGUAUAAAGCAUUGACAGCAAGUAGCAACCAGUAACCUGAAUCAUUCCCCAAUUAACUGAUUAAUUGUUGAUAAAUCAACAACAAAAAUAGACUAAUCAUUCAAACGGGAAUCUUUGGCAUUGCCAGUUUGCCUCCAUCUACAGCUUUUAGCAGUACAAUGCCAUUACCACCACCACAAGCACCAAACCAAAAUGUUAAUUUUCCAAUAAAGGGUUACAAAAAACAAUUUAAAACAUUGGUUCAUAAAUCAAAGACUUGGCUCAGUUACACUAAAACAGUCUUAAGAUUGAAAGAUUAGAG
rnacentral:misc_RNA from 1 species